UCCUACGGGAGGCAGCAGUGGGGAAUCUUGGACAAUGGGCGCAAGCCUGAUCCAGCCAUGCCGCGUGAGUGAUGAAGGCCCUAGGGUCGUAAAGCUCUUUCGCCAGGGAUGAUAAUGACAGUACCUGGUAAAGAAACCCCGGCUAACUCCGUGCCAGCAGCCGCGGUAAUACGGAGGGGGUUAGCGUUGUUCGGAAUUACUGGGCGUAAAGCGCGCGUAGGCGGACUAGAAAGUUGGGGGUGAAAUCCCGGAGCUCAACUCCGGAACUGCCUCCAAAACUCCUAGUCUAGAGUUCGAGAGAGGUGAGUGGAAUUCCGAGUGUAGAGGUGAAAUUCGUAGAUAUUCGGAGGAACACCAGUGGCGAAGGCGGCUCACUGGCUCGAUACUGACGCUGAGGUGCGAAAGUGUGGGGAGCAAACAGGAUUAGAUACCCUGGUAGUCCACACCGUAAACGAUGAAUGCCAGACGUCGGGUAGCAUGCUAUUCGGUGUCACACCUAACGGAUUAAGCAUUCCGCCUGGGGAGUACGGUCGCAAGAUUAAAACUCAAAUGAAUUGACGGA
rnacentral:rRNA from 1 species